GACGAACGCUGGCGGCGUGCUUAACACACGCAAGUCGAACGAUGAAGCCGGAGCUUGCUCUGGUGAAUUAGUGGCGAACGGGUGAGUAACACGUGAGUAACCUGCCCUUGACUCUGGGAUAACUGCGGGAAACUGUAGCUAAUACCGGAUACGACCCUCGGAGGCAUCUCCUGGGGGUGGAAAGAAUUUCGGUCAAGGAUGGACUCGCGGCCUAUCAGCUAGUUGGUGAGGUAAAGGCUCACCAAGGCGACGACGGGGAGCCGGCCUGAGAGGGUGACCGGCCACACUGGGACUGAGACACGGCCCAGACUCCUACGGGAGGCAGCAGUGGGGAAUAUUGCACAAUGGGCGCAAGCCUGAUGCAGCAACGCCGCGUGAGGGAUGACGGCCUUCGGGUUGUAAACCUCUUUUAGCAGGGAAGAAGCGAAAGUGACGGUACCUGCAGAAAAAGCACCGGCUAACUACGUGCCAGCCGCCGCAGUAA
rnacentral:rRNA from 1 species